CCAGGACUAUUUCUGAACAAGAACUGAAGCAUCUCUAACUGUUUAGAGGAAAUGUUAUUACACAAUGGAGGACAAAACAGGCAAGCCACUUCAAACAGGAUAAAUGAACGAAGGCUUCAAGGGAUCAUUUCCAAAUCUGAUGGAUGAGUUCAAAAUAUUCAAUUCAAUCUAACCAUCAGGCGGAAAAACAGUCAAACUCCUGAGGAGAAAAGAGCAGAUAAAUGCUGAAAUGAACUUGCAUAUCUUUAAGAGGUGCAACCAUUGGAUUCACACCACAGAAACUUUUGAAAGAGAGCUUUGAGCUGCUGCAACUUGUAUGCCCCUUACUGAAAAUGCUGAAUGGAUUCCCAUGAAGACAGUGUCCAUACUUCACUUUGCAUUAUAAAGAAAAGAUCAGAAAUUUGGGAGAAAAAGAGAAGCUAUUCAGCCCGUUUUGAUGCAGGAGCCUGGACUGGUACCCUUGUGACCUAAUGUCAAUCUUGUGUGACGCCAACAACUGUAAAGACAAAUCAGCGUGGCCCUUUUAUGGAGAAGCUGAGUUCAAAGGACUGUGAGCUGACACAGACUGAAGCGUGUCUGCGGUAGGAAUGCUGCGGGUGAGAGCUGGACUGACAGAUAUAAUAGUGUUGUUGCUCCUAUUCAUGGUGGGGAAAAGCGUCCAGCGAGAAGG